GCAACUAGGAAGAUCCAUUAGAAGCCCGGCUGUGGGAGCAGAAAGGCAUCCGUAGUUCAAGCAACCAACAGGCCUCAACUAAAGGUUUAUGAGGCCUGCCCUCCUUGGCCUCUCCCAAAACCAUCUGCACGUGCUCUCCAGGAACCCUUUACCCAUUGCUCAGUGGCAAAGGCAUUUUUGGACAGUAUUUCCACAAAUAUAUUUCUGUUGUUGCUAUGCGCCUUCAAGUCGAUUGCCACUUACGGCGACCCUAUGAACCAGUGACCUCCAAGAGCAUCUGUCUUGAACCAUCCUGUUCAGAUCUUAAUGGUUAUUCACGAGGACUCAGACCUGGAGCACUGGACAGUGAAAGAGAUCCCUGGUAUUGAUUUUGACUGAAUGUAUUAACCAAUCUCAUCCGGCAUUGAGUAGGCCCUGACCAACUCAGCCCCAUCCAGGCCUUUCGUUGAGGCUGUUCCUGGGAGCCCUUGGCAGCGCGCGCAGGUCUGAAGCUGGCUGCAAAAGUGCAUUCUUGGGAUCGGCACUCAAAGCCUGGACGUUGGAAUUAGAAGGAAAGGAUGAAGAUGUCUCAUCCAGAAAUGAGAGAAGGAACUGCUGUAGCCGGAGAUUUUGUGACCCAAUCAGGCCCUGGCGCAGAGGAGCAAACUCCUUGAUGGUGUUGAUGGGAUGCUAUCCCCAGGAUUCCCUGCCGCUUCUUCUGCAGUUACAGACUUCUCACUCUCCACAACUUGGCUUUUUUGAAGUAGGAACGAAUAGGUACUCCUUGCACUCUGAUUGGCUCCCAUCAGCAGGGAAGGACAAGGAAGCAAGUUAGAAGACUCUUCUCAGUGGCUAACACAUUCCCCUUUCAUGCUGAUUGGCUCAUAGGAAGCUGGAGACAUAGGGACCCUGCUGGGACCUGACUCCCAAAAAAGUAAAGGGUCUAAGACCCUCUGAGGCCCUGGAUGACUACACCUCUGUUUCAACUGUGCUUUGCAAUCAAGACAGGACUUGGUAAGGGGGAUCCAUUUUGCAAAAGGGGAACAGUAAACACAAUUUCAUCCUUGUGUGCCUCCCAGGAAUAUUUGGGGUGCCUGGACCUUCCAUAUUUAAGCUCAGCAGAACCCUGCCUGGAUUGCAAUUCUGUUUUUCGGAACCUUUGUAUCUUGCCUUUUAAUUGUUCCAUCAUGGAAAAUCCAAAUGUGGUUUCAUUGUCACCCAUCCAGGCACUCAGGAACAGGCUUAAUUUGAAAGAGGGAGGUCUGAGCCUUUGCCAGGUCAGGGGUGCAAAAUGGGCAGGGGGGAAUGAGGAUAAGGCACAAGCGUUUUUAGCAUGUGUUUAAAUUGUUUUAAACUGUGUUUUGAAUUGUUUUUA